AGGUGAGGCACUGGCUCUGGGCAACUUUCAGACGGGGCUUCAAGAUGAUCUGGAGGUUUCAGAGGAUUGUCACUUUAGAGAAAAAAGUAACAGACUUGGUCUCCAAAGACUGGUGACUCCAAGGUGUGGCUCAACACCCAGCUGAAGAGGCGGUCAAUGCGAACGGCAUCAGCCCAUGAACCGAGUGUGUCCUGCGUGCUGGCGCUGCGCUCUCCCACCAGCUGCUCCAGGCAGGCACUCCCAUCCAUUUUCCGAUGAGGAGGUGGACGUUUGGAGGCAGAGAGUCCAUGCUGAGAGCCUGCUGCAGACACGUUUGAAAGGUGGACCCCAGCCCUUGUCCCAGAAUGUCUCUUCCGUGGCUGGGUCUGCCCCAGAAGAACAGAAGCAAUGGCCUGGCAUCUGUUUCCAGCUCUGCUCCUUCCUUGAGGCUUCUGGCGGCUGUGAUCAAAAGGCAGCCCUCGCUGGGGGGAGUACGCAACAUCUUCAAUGACCUAAGAGCUCCUAGUAAAUGGGAACCAGUCACUUGGACCUCCCAGAACCCUCGCAAAACCUGAGUUUGACAGAAGAGGAAACGGAGACACUGUGACGAGCUGACUCAAAGACUGAGGACCACAAAGAAGG